AGAGUGAACGCUGGCGGUAGGCCUAACACAUGCAAGUCGAACGGCAGCACAGUGGUAGCAAUACCAUGGGUGGCGAGUGGCGGACGGGUGAGGAAUACAUCGGAAUCUACCUUUUCGUGGGGGAUAACGUAGGGAAACUUACGCUAAUACCGCAUACGCCCUUUGGGGGAAAGCCGGGGAUCGCAAGACCUGGCGCGGAUAGAUGAGCCGAUGUCGGAUUAGCUAGUUGGUGAGGUAAUGGCUCACCAAGGCGACGAUCCGUAGCUGGUCUGAGAGGAUGAUCAGCCACACGUGGAACUGAGGCACGGUCCAGCCUCCGUACGGGAGCAGCAGGU
rnacentral:rRNA from 1 species